ACCCUGGUUUGAGUUUGAGGGGAAAACUCUCUGAACCUCAUUGUCUCCCGCAAAGCUUGGAAGGCUGAAGAGUUGGGUGGCUCAACUCGUUCAACCCAAGAGGAAAAGGUAGCUCUUAAAGUUCUGCUUUGGACCAUCCCAUUUGCAGUAGGCUGUAGUCCAUAUAGCUUCUACGCCUCAGAAACCCUCGCCACCAUGGACCGUCCGUGUCAUCGCUCGUUAUAGGGGCAGAUUCAUGUUGCGCAUGUUUCUGUCACAUAAACGCAUAUAGUGUAAAUUUCCAAAUAUAUCAAUGUACAUAUUUUUUAAGUUACAUGUGUAGAAGAUGUAAUAAGUGUGUGAUCUGUAUGUGUGUGUAUGAGUUUAUUGAAUAUAUUUUAUACAUGAAAAAAUAUACCUUUAUAUAAAACAAAAAAUAAAUAGAAUACGUGAGA